GAUUUCAAGGCUCGACCUUGGUCUGCUUUUCCUGGAAGAAGAUUGUGCCAUUGUGUUCCUGUAUGGCCUGAAGGUGUCUGUGAAGGUGUCAGGACCAGUAAACCCGUGGAGCCUUGCCAUUCCUAACGUGACGAAAGGAAAGGAGACACAAGGUGGCUCAGAUUCCUAGGUAAGGGGAUCAAAAUCAGGAAACUGCAAGACUCUUACAGGCAUCUGGUUUAAUCCCCUUCUGCUACAAAUGAAGAAACUGAGGUCUAGAGAGGUCUCUACAUCAAGACCUGGACCAUAUCUGGACCUGCUAUAGAUCAUGAGAUCCUGGACUUCAAAGGU